AAAUUCCACUCAUUAGAGCCUCAUAAAGUAAAAUACCUAGGAAUAAAUCAAACCAAGAAGGUAAGAGAUCUCUAUGAUGUAAACUAUAGAACAGUGAAGAAAGAAAUUGAAGAAGAAACAAGAACAUGGAGAGACAUCCCAUGUUUUCAGAUAGGCAGAAUAAAUAUUGCUAAAAUGAACAUAAAACCUAAAGCAAGUCACAGAUUUAAUGCAAUCCCCACCAAAAUACCAAUGAUAUUUUUUCACAGAACUAGAGUGUGGGGAGCCACACUGAAUGACCAUGCCUUCCAGUCCUGAUGCACCAGGCUCUGACCAGCCACUGCAUUAGUUGUGGCUUGGGCGCCAGACCCACUUGGAGAGCAAGGAGGUCUUCUUUGUGGGUGUGCCCCUAAGGUUGAGUUACUCUCACCUGUUCCCUUAUAAUCCUACCCCUUCUGCCCUUUUAUGGAUAGAACUUUCUAAAAACAGUGACCCCCACCCACCCCCAAAUAAAAAGCUGACUUCUGAACGUGUUCCCUCUUUCUCAUCAGCCUCUCAUGACUUUCUCUUGCUCUCUCUUUUGGGGAGCCUCAGGCCGAGAGCCAGGGAAGCGGACCUAAAGCUUGUGUAAUGUCUUCUCCACUGAAGAAUCAUGACGUGAGCAAAUGCCACUUACCGACUUGGUCAAGGAAACUGCUCCUGCUGGGAGUAGUGCAUGCUGUGUCUAGGUGCCCUCUGGAAUGAUGCUGUGUGAUUGAGUUGACACGUGCAACCCUGGGACCUUCAGCCCACCUCCAGGAGCACCAGGAGGAUCUGCAAGUUCCAAGGGUGCAAAGGUAGAGGUCAGAGGAGGGUCCCUUUGCCUUGGAGCUGGCAGGCCGCAUGGCAGAUGAACAAAAUCCCCCUGCCUUCCACAAAGACCAUGAAGGAAAGCAGCUUUCACCAUCACCGCUAACAGAGCUCCACACUGCGGCCCCUGGAGUCCCCACAGGGCCACCAGUGAUGCCGCAGCCACCAUCACUGCACUGGGACCAGACUCCUGCCACUACCAGAGGAUGAGAAUGCUCCUCUCUGGAUGCCUGGCUUGACGUUGCCACCUACAGACUCCUUGGUUGCCUUUGCCACCGCUGCCAUAACUGAACUUCAGACACCAAUACCUCCACAGAUUCCAAACGCCAAGGCUUCACUGCCCAGGCUCCUGCCCACGGCUGUCCUCCAAGCCUGAGGCCAAUUCUCCAUCCUGCCACUGAUACAUCUGGGCUCCUCAAACUGCCUUAAGACACCUAGGCUCGCUGUUUGACAUUCUCCCCACAGAUGGAUGCUGACACUGCUCCUGGUCACUGGGAACCUCCAAUGGGAAACCCUGCUGUGGAACGCUGAGGUUGGCUUCUAUAUGCUUCAGUCCCAGAAACCAGACUUCUUUCACAGCCACUAGAUGCCUUUGCAGGUGCCACCUAUACCUCCAGGCUUGGGAAGGGUCCAGCACAUGCCCUUCCAUGCCUGCUGCCUGUUCAUAUCUGUCCGUGGAAUAAACCAUUGAUUGGGUUAAA